AGCGCGUUUCCGGAAACACGUAAACCUGAUCGACCAAUCGCUUGUCAACUCUUUGAAUACAAGACGCGUACCAUGGCAACGAGUGAAUACAAACACAUCAACUUUGAAACCCGCUGUCAGUAAAGCAGCAUUUAUUUCAUUCGAAGUUUUAAAUUAACCGGUUUUUACACGUUCUUUUUGGAAAGUGUCUUAUUUGUUGGAAUUGCCUGUCGAAGGAUUGAAGGACCCGAAAAUGUGACUUUAAACUAGAAAAUUGGCGAUUGUAAAGAAAAUGUUGACGAUUUUUGCGACUUAAAUCGUUGGCAGGAUAUUAAGGAUGGGAAGUUUUCAAAUUGAGACCCGCUAUAUUGGAAAACAAGAGCAUUCUACAGGAUGACCAAGGGUGAUUAGACCCUGAUUUUAUUGGCUUCGCUGACGUUGAAAGGAGGAGAGCGCGCUCGAGAAAGGAAAAGUCUGGAAAAUUUCUGAUCCGAUUUGGGGGCAAAUACAUAAUGGAUUUUCGGAAAAUCUGCUGAUAUUGAUGGUAUGACUUGGAGCAACUAACUAGAUUGCCGCCAAUGGAAUGGCUUCUUACGUAAGAGGAAAUAAAAACGAACUCUGAGGUUUGCUAUUAUAUUAUA